UACGGAGGGGGCUAGCGUUGUUCGGAAUUACUGGGCGUAAAGCGCACGUAGGCGGCUUUGUAAGUUAGAGGUGAAAGCCCGGAGCUCAACUUCGGAAUUGCCUUUAAGACUGCAUCGCUUGAAUCAUGGAGAGGUCAGUGGAAUUCCGAGUGUAGAGGUGAAAUUCGUAGAUAUUCGGAAGAACACCAGUGGCGAAGGCGGCUCACUGGACCGGCAUUGACGCUGAGGUGCGAAAGCGUGGGGAGCAAACAGG
rnacentral:rRNA from 1 species